rnacentral:SRP_RNA from 1 species
UGGAGCAGGAAACCAGCAAUCCGCUUUAGCUGGAACUGAAAACUGCAUGAGGUUUUUGUAGUAUCUCCGGCCCAUGUUCUGAGCGUCGAAGCUCAGUCCUUUGGGAUCUGGCUGCGGUGAAUGGAUCAGGGCAGGAAUGCAGCAGUCUUAAGCCACAGACCGUGAUGCUCAGAGGAUUGCUGAGUGGAGCAAGGAAUGUGGACAAUCCGUAGUUAUUACAGAUAUCGAUUGCAGAGUGCCUCA